ACUGAGCAUGCUUUCAUUUAUUCAAUUAACAGUUAUAAGAAGACUGUAUAUUCAAGGCAUGUUUGGGUGCCGAAAUAAGAAACAGUCAUGUCCUCAAGCAGCUUGCAAUUUAAUCCAGGAGAGAGAGAAGUGGACAAGAAAUUGCAAUGCCAGGUGAGCCACAAGAGAUCUUCCUUUGUUUUUCAUGGUGAGAACUUGCUGGAACUCCUGGAAACAAAAACCAUAGAACUGUUGGUGCCUCCCAAGACUGCAGUCUCCAGUAGCUUCACUCACCCUAUGCCCACCCAGUCUCCAGGAGUUCAUCAAAAUUACCAUUCAAGCAUUCGUCCAUUAUGGCUUCAGAGACUUCUG
rnacentral:lncRNA from 1 species